UGCCCGCAUACUGUCUCCUUCUUAUUCCCCCAAAAGGGAUACCUGAUGUUUACUAAUUCGCCGCAAUUGUAACUCUCACCGCAAUCUUCGCUGAAACAUAUGGAAAGGUGAAACGCGAUGGAGAAGAAGAAUAAGGAGCUGAUCUUGAAUACAUUUUCAUCUCAACUUUGAUGUGGAAUAUUGGAAGAAAGAAAUGGACAUACCAUGUGGAGGAGCAAGCCGUGAGGACAAUGCUGAUCUUGGGUUUCACAAAUGCAGUAAAAUAGAACUUUUUACUUCAUCCCUUGUUUCACAGUUGCUACAAUUUUGGGCACUCCAAUUUAAACUGAACUACAUCUUCAAAGCCUCAGAAUAACUCUUCUUGAACAACUUACUAAAAUCCUUUUCCUUAUUACUACUGAAGUGCAAAGGCACCUCAACCAAGGAUGGGCAAGAACGGUAAGAGGAGUUCAGGAACCAAAGAUCAGUGGCCGAGCCAGGAAUUUUGUUUGGCAAAGAUCUAUCAUUGAAAGAAACAAAAGAAUAGAGUUUACUUGUACUAGAACAACCAAUUGGGUAGCUAAAACUGGGAGGAAGGGAAAUAAAGUUGUAAAAGAACAAACCAUAAGGAUCUGCUGAAACUUGAGAGGUUUCGAGAUGAGGUCCAUGAGCACAAAAGCAAACAAACUGGUUCCUUUCAAACCCACAUCUGCCACCAAUUGUCUCACAGUUGCUACAGUUCUGGGCACUCCAAUUUAAACUGAAUCCUACCUUCAACACUUCAGUGUAACUCUUCUUCAACAAACCUGGAUAGUCCCUUUCCUCAUCAUUACUGAAGUGCACAGGCACGUAACCCGAGUGUUGACAAGAAUGGUAAGAGGAGCUCCUGGACGCCAAAGAUCCAUCAUCCAUAGCAACAAAAGAAUGGAGUUUGCUUCUGCUAGAACAACCAAUUGGCUGAUUAAAAUCGGGAGGAAUGGAAGUACAGUUGUAGAAAAAGACUAAACCCACUAUGAAAUAUUUAUGUUUGAUUUUGCACAAGUUGUUAGAUUAGAUUUAUUAGCCAUUACUUUUUUUCUUUCUGAUUAUUCAAUCAAGUUUGUAGAUGGUUUUUAUAUGGAAUAUUAUAGCAAAUAGCACAAUUGAGAAAAAAACUUAGGUGAGAAGAAAUAUGGUGUUGCAAUAUGUCAUUCUGUGAUCUAACUAUAUAUACAGGUUCUUGCAGCUCGCAA